GACGAACGCUGGCGGCGUGCCUAAUACAUGCAAGUAGAACGCUGAAGGAGGAGCUUGCUUCUCUGGAUGAGUUGCGAACGGGUGAGUAACGCGUAGGUAACCUGCCUUGUAGCGGGGGAUAACUAUUGGAAACGAUAGCUAAUACCGCAUAACAGUAGAUAUCGCAUGAUAUCUACUUGAAAGGUGCAAUUUCAUCACUACCAGAUGGACCUGCGUUGUAUUAGCUAGUUGGUUAGGUAACGGCUCACCAAGGCGACGAUACAUAGCCGACCUGAGAGGGUGAUCGGCCACACUGGGACGGAGACACGGCCCAGACUCCUACGGGAGGCAGCAGUAGGGAAUCUUCGGCAAUGGACGGAAGUCUGACCGAGCAACGCCGCGUGAGUGAAGAAGGUUUUCGGAUCGUAAAGCUCUGUUGUAAGAGAAGAACGAGUGUGAGAGUGGAAAGUUCACACUGUGACGGUAUCUUACAAGAAAGGGACGGCUAACUACGU
rnacentral:rRNA from 1 species